AAGGAACAUUUGCAGAUGUACUAGUGGAGGCCUGAGAAAAGGUUGUGUUUUGGAGCUUUGCCUCUGUUGCUGCACUUGCAACCCCAAAAUCACAACAUGACUAGAGGAAAACUGAGAUGCCCUGGCCAACUAUCAGCUGUGAGUGAAGCCAUCCUCAACCAUCCAGCCCCAGCCAAGCUUCCAGAAGAAGCCAAGCCCCAGCCCAAACUGCCAAUACACAGAACCAUCAGGUGGAACAUCAACCAAGCCUGGAUAUGUGGAACUAAGGCUUAUAUUGCGGGUAAUCACACAAAAUGAUGUUCUCCUUUAAUCUCAACAGUUACUCUGCAAGGUAAGCAUCGUUAUUCUUCCUUUUUCCAGGUAAGGAAACAGAAGCCCAGGGAGGUCAGGUAGCUUACUCAACAUCACUUAGUAUGUAGCAGAUCUGGGAUUCAAAUCUAGAUCUGUCAGAUUCCAAGUUCCAAUUUCUUUCUUAAAUUUAGUAGGAAAGUUUCUUUGCCUUUCUUGCACUUCCUUUAUUUCAAAAACAAGAUAUGGUCAUUGUACCAAGUAAAACAAUCCAAAGACGUAUAAAGUUAAUAUUUUUACCCGAAAAACCUCUGCAGUAUCACCACUAUGACCAUGAUUCCUGCUUGCCCCACUUCCAAAUAUUGCUGAUGUAUCUAAUGUUAUCAUCGUGGUGUCUUUCUAUGAAAUCCUCUAUACUCCUGUAAACAUAUAUACACAUGUACAAGAGGACUUAAUUGCUGUUCAUCUUUACAAAAAAAU
rnacentral:lncRNA from 1 species